UAAUUAUGGUUUGAUUGGAAGGAACAGAUGACCACUAAAAUAGAGAUGCACAGUGCCAUGUUUGGUGAAAACCAAACGCCGCAUAUCGGCAUAAAAACCUCAUACCAAUCAACAACUGACUGUUUGUUUUGCAGCCACGGUACUCGAGCAUCUUGCAGUCAUUGAGUCAAUCAUGAAUUUCUCUGUAAACCAAAGUAUUCUAGAAUAAAAUGUGAAGGCAUCUGUCUGACAGCUUAAAAGCUUUGUCCCAACCGGGUCAUAACAGGCCAGGAAAUCUACAAAAGAUUGGCUGAAAAAGAAAAUAAUUAAGGUGUUGCAACAGCCCAGUCAAAGUCCAGACCUCAGCCUGACUGAAAUGUAAAGGGACCUUAAGAGAGCCGUGCAUAAACGAAUGCCCACUGUAAGGAAUGAAGCAGUGCUGUAAAGAUGAGUGGGCCAAAAUUCCUUGACAAUGAUGUGAGAAACUGAUAAAGUCAGGUCUUGUGUGGAAAAAGCUCAGUUAGACAGCUCCAGUGGUUAUCUUCCAAAUAACAGAUGCGGAUGCAAAAUCUUCCCUUUGUGUUAAUAUGCCUCCCCUAUGAGUCAGCAAGCAAACACUAAGCAAAGAGGGAGUUUGCAAAACUCUCUGUUGCACAUUGCAGCUGGGACUGGAUAUAUUACAAGCUGUACUGUUAACUGUGCAAAGAGUGACAAUGGCUGACUACAGAUAAAAGGGUGAUCUGCUUGAAUUUGGCUUCCACAUCAUGCGUCCUAAAAAGAAAAAAACAAAGAACAAAGCCAAUGAAGCUACAAAGAAAUCAAAAAAAAUGAAAGAAAGAUGGGCAGCAAAGAAAGAUUGUACAGGCUGUACAGUGAGUGUGCAGGUGAUACAGCCACAGCUGCAGAUGUACAACAAGCUUUGAUUCACUGCAGUUCAAACACAUAGCAGGAGAAUCACCUCACUGAUGAAAGAGCGCCAGUGAUAUCAAACUACCACAUCUUGGCUCUCCCAGGUGUGACACACACACACACACACACACACACACACACACACACACACACACACACACACACACACACAAUAAACUGAGAGUUCUUAGAGAAAAAAAAAAAGUGAAAGCAUGGAGAUAUUUACACCAGCAUUAAGAGAAUGGGUGCAGGUAUGUGCAGCAGUUCUUACAUCCCCUACUGUACAUGGACAGAUAUUGUAACAUACACACAUACCAUUAUUCAGCUUGGAUCAAAGACAGUGACUGUAAGGUCUCUGCUGUUUAUCUCCCUAAGGGGAUUGUGCCUAGACAGAUGAGAAGUCAAAAGGAAGAAGAUAUGGGGUGAAUUUUUUUUUUUUUAAAUGGACUAACAGUGUUCAGUCAGAAAACAGAUGAUGGAGAUGUGGGAGACAGAAUAAAAAAGCAGGAGGAAGCACAGAAAGGGGGGGAAACAGACAGAAUGAGAGCGAAAGAGUGAGAGAGCAAAGGGCAUAGCAGACAUGGUUACUCAUAUAAAAUGAGUCGAAAUCAGUUAAACUUGUGUGUCCUCUUUCCUUUUAUCUGUUAAGUCUGCUUCAAGACCAGUAAACCAACUAGAAAAAUGGGAGUGACAAGCUAUCAUCCAGCUGCCAAGAGAAUUUUAAGUAGACCGUAAGGCUAAAAUGCCUCAUUCCCAACAGAUGGACUCCAGCGAAUAAACAGGCUUCCUGAAUGUAAAAAGGACAGAAAAAAGCUGAGAUUGUGUUUUAUUGUCAGUAAAUGUCACUCAUUAUUUCAGGAAAAAAGGUUUAAGAAUCAAAGAAACUCCAGGGCACAUUUCCAGGCACACUUACAGAAGCAAGCAAUGACAGGUGUGACCCAUCUCAGAGUUUUUCUUUUAAUAGUGUGAAAGGC
ensembl:lncRNA